GGAUUUAUGAUUUCAGCCUUUGUGUUUGCAGAAUUACGAAUUAAUCGAUUAAAAGAAAUUUCAGUUGAGAAUGCCUUGGCUGCGAUUGAAACAAAAGGUUCAUUUGUCGAGGAUGUAACUGAUAAUAUAGAGCAUUCUGGCUAAAAAUAGCAGAGUGCCAAAAGUUUUUCUAGGACUUUAGGCCAUUAAUUAACACAUAAGCUGCAUAUAAUUAUUAAAUGCCUAGACCAAGAAGAUUGAGGUAACUAUUUUAAUGCACAAAAGACGCACAACCACAAAAGGUUGUUCACAUAUCACACCAUAACCAAAAU
rnacentral:misc_RNA from 1 species